rnacentral:rRNA from 1 species
UACGUAGGGUGCGAGCGUUAAUCGGAAUUACUGGGCGUAAAGCGUGCGCAGGCGGUCUGUUAAGACCGAUGUGAAAUCCCCGGGCUUAACCUGGGAACUGCAUUGGUGACUGGCAGGCUUUGAGUGUGGCAGAGGGAGGUAGAAUUCCACGUAUAGCAGUGAAAUGCGUAGAGAUGUGGAGGAAUACCGAUGGCGAAGGCAGCCUCCUGGGCCAACACUGACGCUCAUGCACGAAAGCGUGGGGAGCAAACAGG